rnacentral:rRNA from 1 species
GACGUAGGGCGCGAGCGUUGUCCGGAUUUAUUGGGCGUAAAGAGCGUGUAGGCGGCUAGGUAGGUCCGUUGUGAAAACUCGAGGCUCAACCUCGAGACGCCGAUGGAAACCAUCUGGCUAGAGUCCGGAAGAGGAGAGUGGAAUUCCUGGUGUAGCGGUGAAAUGCGCAGAUAUCAGGAAGAACACCCGUGGCUAAGGCGGCUCUCUAGUACGGUACUGACGCUGAGACGCGAAAAGCGUGGGGAGCGAACAGG